UUAUCGGAGAGUUUGAUCCUGGCUCAGGAUGAACGCUGGCGGCGUGCCUAAUACAUGCAAGUCGUGCGGGGGAAGAUCCUUCGGGAUCGGACCCAGCGGCGAACGGGUGAGUAACACGUGGGCAACCUGCCCGCAAGACGGGGAUAACUCCGGGAAACCGGUGCUAAUACCCGAUAAUCCCGGCUCCCGCA
rnacentral:rRNA from 1 species